UACAGAGGGUGCUAGCGUUGUUCGGAAUUACUGGGCGUAAAGCGUGCGCAGGCGGUCUGUUAAGAGAGAUGUGAAAUCCCCGGGCUCAACCCGGGAACUGCGUCCGAUACUGGCAGGCUUGAAUUCGGGAGAGGGAUGCGGAAUUCCAGGUGUAGCGGUGAAAUGCGUAGAUAUCUGGAGGAACACCGGUGGCGAAGGCGGCAUCCUGGACCGAGAUUGACGCUGAGGCGCGAAAGCCAGGGGAGCAAAGCGGG
rnacentral:rRNA from 1 species